UGUAGGCUGUGCCCACUGGUCUGUUUCCUGUUUUCCUAAAGUUCCCGUUCCCCUGGAGCUGAGGGCCUCUUGGUCUGGAAUGGUCUGUUCUAUAAACAGGAGCCGGGCCAGUGAGAGAAUUGGUAUUGUGGUGAGGGUAAGACAAUGGAAGGGGCAGAAUUCAUGUGAAGAUGACCUCUGUGCUUUUCCUUGCAGUUUGGGGUGUGUCCCGGGGCCACAGUGCUGCGUCCUCGAUCUCUCCUGCUCUGCAGUUUCCAGCUUCUUUGACAGAGCAGCUGAUAGAUCCUAUGGUUCUCCAGGAAGCAAAUGGCCAUGUGGAUUCUCCUGUCUCUGAUCCUGUAAGCCUCCCUAAGAAAGCCCCUUACACAACUGCA